rnacentral:lncRNA from 1 species
CGCCUCUGCGUCCGCGACGGCCUUCCGCUCAAGCCCCAGUUGGAUUUUUACUUGUUGCAGCUUGGCUGUCUUCUCUCCAAGGAAGACGGAAAUCCCGUCGACAGUGCCUCUCAGGGCUUGGAGCUCCUCGUUAUCUUGGGCGUUGGCAAGCUGCGCCCUAGUAACCAACUGCCUCUGGAGACGAACCACCUCAUCCGCCGAUCGAUGGAAUCUCCCCUUGUACUCCUCUACCUGUCGGCGCCAGCUGGCCCGCUGCACAUCGUGGCUCAUCUCGGCAUCUUGAAGCUACUUCUGGAGGUCGGAAACUUUUUGUGACCAUAUCUGCUCAUCCCGCGCUGUGAGCCGGGAUGGGUUUCCUUCCAGCUGGCCGAUCCUCCUCUUGGCAGCCGACAGCUCCACUUUAAGGGCGCUGAUCCUGGCUUCUUGAGCCCAAGUUUGGUCGCUGGCGCUCUUCGUGCAUUCUUCGAGCUCCUUCGCAAAGUUCGCCUUCCUCCGACUGUAGUCCAUGAUUGCCUUCACUUGGAGACUCCUGAAGUGGGCGGCCUCAGCGGCGGCCUCGGAAUAGCAUUUUUUCGCCUGGCGAAGCUCGCCCUCUGACUUUUUCAACUUCUUCGUCAAGUGGAGGACCUUCUUUUUGAGCCGCUGGAUAGUCGACUUCAGCGGGACCCCCAGGGGCAAGGGGAGUGCUUCGGUGGGACGCUGCCAUCGGAAAAUGCAAACAUCAAAAACCAGCUCAUUACGAGAAGAAAGGCAGAAAAGAAGGAGCGGGGGAAGGAAAGGCCAUCCACAACAAGAAAUUCAACUUCAUUGAUUAAUUUUGAAGACAAGCGGAAAGGAAAUAUGGCAACAAAAGAAAGAUACAAGAUCGGAGGUCUCAGACCUCGGAGGCUGGGGGUGGAGAGCCCGGCGCGGGGGGUGCGACUGCGGCGGCGGCGGACGAAGGGGCGGCCUCGUCGUCAGACUCCUCCAGAAAGCCAAAUUCAAGAUCGGGGUAUCUGCUGGCCACCCUCUCUCGGCAGAGCUCGAACCCCUUAGUGAACGCCUCCAGGCCAAACUGGACGUUCAGCUCCCUCAUCUCCGUGGAGGUCUUGAACUCCUCCACCGCAAGGGUCCUGGCCUCCGAAACCAGAACCGGAGUUUGCUCGGCCAGAUGGGCGACCUCGGCCUCCGCCUUCCUUGCCGACUCCUCCAGGCUUCGCCUCUCCUCCUCCCGGACUCGUCUUUCCUCUUCCCGAUCUUGUCUCUCUCUCUCCAGGGCCUCCCGGAGGGUGGCCACUUCGGCCGUCUUCGCUUGAAGACGAGCAACCUCGUCUUGGCAAC